CAUUUUACCCCUAUGUUCUAUUUUUAGCCAUGGCGGCCAUUGGUUGGUUGGUUGGCCGGAUCACUAGACACAUUUUUUAAACUAGAUACCCCAAAAAUGAUUGUGGCCAAGUUUGGUUAAAUUUGGCCCAGUAGUUUCAGAGGAGAAGAUUUUUGUUAAAAUUAAUGACGGACGCAGGACGACGACGAACGCCAAGUGAUGAGAAAAGCUCACUUGGCCCUUCGGGCCAGGUGAGCUAAAAAGGCAGAAAUAUCAAUAAAAUUGAUGCAAAAUUUUAACUUUACCGCUUCUAUUCAACAGAAUAUAUUGAUUGUUGAUAGUUUAGCCGUGUUUAGAGUAUAACCA
rnacentral:lncRNA from 1 species